rnacentral:rRNA from 1 species
AUUGAACGCUGGCGGCAGGCCUAACACAUGCAAGUCGAGCGGAUGAAGGGAGCUUGCUCCUGGAUUCAGCGGCGGACGGGUGAGUAAUGCCUAGGAAUCUGCCUGGUAGUGGGGGAUAACGUCCGGAAACGGGCGCUAAUACCGCAUACGUCCUGAGGGAGAAAGUGGGGGAUCUUCGGACCUCACGCUAUCAGAUGAGCCUAGGUCGGAUUAGCUAGUUGGUGGGGUAAAGGCCUACCAAGGCGACGAUCCGUAACUGGUCUGAGAGGAUGAUCAGUCACACUGGAACUGAGACACGGUCCAGGCUCCUACGGGAGGCAGCAGUGGGGAAUAUUGGACAAUGGGCGAAAGCCUGAUCCAGCCAUGCCGCGUGCGUGAAGAAGGUCUUCGGAUUGUAAAGCACUUUAAGUUGGGAGGAAGGGCAGUAAGUUAAUACCUUGCUGUUUUGACGUUACCAACAGAAUAAGCACCGGCUAACUUCGUG